GAUGUUUUAUGGAUGUUGUACAUCUUCUCAUUUUGUACUAAAAGGGAUUGCAUAUACCCAUUUUAAGAUUUUACAUUAUUACUGCUUUUCGAUUGACGAUUUUGAGUUGAGUUUGUAUUUUGAUGCUACUGAAAAAGCAAGUUGUCUGGUAUGGCGUUCUAGCUGUUAAGUUUUCAUCUUAUAGUAAUAAAGAAAGUAGCUGUACCUAUAGUCCUAAAGAAAGCAUGAAAGUGCCUGUUUUCAAUUGAGAAUGAAGACUGUCCCAUUUCAGCAGGGUGGUAGCAAGUGAAGAUUUACUUAAAUUUUACUGGAACAACAAACUUUCUUCUGUGGUCCUCCUGAAUUUGGUUUGAUUUCCACACCUACAAACAUUGGAACAUUAAAGUCUACAAUUAAUUAAGAUCGACAGUGGGGAAGACAAAGAAGACCACGUAGUUAAAAAACUCGUUUAUCUUGCAUGGCCUAUCUAAUGGAAUUACUUUUUUAAAUCCAUUUUUUUGGAAUUAGUUUUUUAUUUUGCAUAUUUUUUGUAGUCUGU